rnacentral:lncRNA from 1 species
UUUUUGUUUUUUUUUUUUUUUUUUGGAAAAGUUUUCAAAUAGAGUGUUUUUGAAAAGUAUAGAAAUCAUUUGACUGUGCAAGUGCCUACUUGGUAAGGAGGUUGAUGAAUUACCAUUGAACAGAAGAAGGAAAUUUAAAACAAAAACAGCCUUGGAGAGCUAAAUGAUGUCUGAAUGCAGAAAACCAAUAACUGGAAGCCAAAAAAGACCUAUAAAAUUUGUUCAAUUCUUCAAAGCAUGAAAAAUUUUGGGAAAAAAAAAAAACCUUAUUGGUAAGAAAUUAUUAGAAAAAUUACAGCUGUUUAAUUAAAACAGCUUUGAAUGCAAACUUUCUUUCUCCUCUGCAGUGCUGAAUGCGAUAGGAAAGGUGUUUCAUGUAAAUACAGAUAUCUGGAAUGACACAGGUAAGCCAAAGUCACAGAGAUACCUAUCUGGAGUCUACUGUCAGGCCCUGUGGCAGGCAGAGCAGCUCCUGUGAUGAUGUACCCUUGUGUGGUCCUUGAAUGUUCACAGGGUGCAUCCUACAGAUACAGUUUUGAAAGAGGUAUAGCAGUAAGAUUUAAAGAAAUUGAAGUAAUUUUCCUGUUUGAUGAUUUUCAAAGGUUUCCUUUUCUUCUGCAGCUGGCAUAAAACCAGUUUUGCCUUGAAGUAUUCUCUGAUGGUAUUGGUUUACAAGCUGUAUAUAAGCCUCUGUGUCUGUCUGUGUGUGGCAGUGCUGGAAGUGGGUAAUGGUUAUUUUUAUUAACAACAGAAAAAUGUUGACCCUGAAUCUUUGGGCCAGUUCUGAUUUUCCACUUGCUCUAGCAUAGUGUCUGUAAGGCCUGUGUGGCUAUGAAGCAUCUUAAAAUCUAUGGGAAUGCCUGAAGCAGCAGAUGAUCAUGUCACCUCAAUCUCCAGCUGGAUUGCCAAAAGAACCAUUUGUCCAAACACCAGUUCUCUCAUCAUGGCUUUAAGUAAGGACAGAACCCCUUUGGGGGAUUGUGAAUUUCUGCUCCAUGCUUCUCGAAGAACUGGCGGGAGUCUCAUGUGCUUCCUUAGCCCUGAAUGGGGGUCACAGCCCCACCACUCCUUCUGAGUGCUUGGCUUGUCUUUAGAGAGUGUUAAUCCAGAACACAUCCAGAUGCAAAUUUGUGAUGGUUAGUGUCUCCAUCUCUCCUGAGCUGAGGCACUCUCAUAGCUACUCUGAGUUUCUGCCUUCUGGGGGAGGCUUUGAAGUAUCUUUUUGAACAGAGAUUGAAGCUUUUUGACUAGUGUGUGGUUUCUUAGUUGGAGGAACAGUUAAUUAGAAAUCUCUUAUCAGUGAUGUCAGCAUUAAGGGGCUUGACCCUGUCCCUCAGAUCUGCUCUGGCCAAGUGCCUAAGCAUGUGCUUUACUUGGAGCAUGUGACUAAUCCCCUUAAAUUUGGUUGACUACGCAUAUGCUUAAAGUCAAGAAUGUGCUUUCUUGGAUAACAUUCAGCUUCCUGCAGAGUCCAGCCCACAUUCUUCUUUUCCCAUCCUUCCCCUGCAGAUAAGAUGACACUCUGUCCUAGCCUGAGCAACCAGUAUGUUCUUGGUCUCCCUUUCUGUGAGGUGGAAAUGCAGCAUCCAUAUCUGGUGGGCUCUUUGCCACACAUAACCAUCCAUGUUGCGCUUCUGGGACAGCACAUCUCUGUGUUCCAGUGCCCACAGAGCCACUGAAGUGCAGUCAGCACAGAUACCCUAAAAUGCCCAUCUUAAGGAUGCAGGAUGAAUUGGCUCAACCCACAGUGAUUUGCAGGCUGAGGUUUUAUAUGUAGUGACUCACUUGUGUUGCCCUGUGACUGCAACGAGUCAGCUGCAGGGGUUCUGCUGUCUGUCCCUGCUGGGACACUGUACAUCUGAAGGGGCUGUGUGGCAGGAGCACACGUGCCCUGUAUCCUAUGUCCUACAGGAUAGGUGUCCUAUAGGACACCUCCUUCUUCAAGCUAAAGCUGUUUGUGUGCUAAAUUUCCUAACCCAUAUUAGCUGCUUGUAUAUAUCAUCAAUCCCUUCUUCCUCUCUGCAAACACACAACUGAUCUUUCCUCAUCUAAAUAGUACAGUCCCUCCAGUUCUUUUUCUAGUUGGGCAUAUUUUUCUUCUACCCCAGGGACAGUCACAAGUGGAUGGCAAACCACCAGUGACCAGAUCAAUUUCUUUGAAAUACUGCUUUUGAAAAAUCAUCAUUACUUUUUAAAAUAUUAUUCCAGCUGCAAUAACAAAUGAAAGGGGAAAAAAAACCAUCCUCAGAGUCCUCUAAUGAGAGGAUCCUCAUCCUCCCAAGAGUGAAUUGUGAGAGUGCAGGUAUUCUGCUUUCCUGUGGAUGCAAGUAAUUUGGGACCAUUUUUAGCUAUGGCAUGUUAGCUGUGCAGUUCAAUGAAUGGUGAAGAAAGCAAAGUUGGUGAAGGAGGGGAUUGAUGUGCAAGGGUUAUUUUAGAUUCCCAAGCAUUCCUGGAAGACUGUGUCUUCAUGGCUGUCCACUUACCCACUGUGCAGUGCCUCUGAAUCAGGCUCAUCCCUGGAGUCCCACUGAUAAGCAGAGCUCAGAAGAAAAUCACUGUAAUCUGUCCUUAAUUCUUGAGCGUCACGCUAACUGCCAGCAGCGAAUGGAGGGAAAAUAAUAUGUUACCAAGUAUAGCUUAAAUAAAGACAUUCAUUAUUCAGGCUCUUUCUUCUCUGUGUCUCUACUUAGGCCUAGAAGGGCUACAGGAGUGCUCAGGCACAUUCACAAGCUCCACCACUGCAUUUUCUUGCCCCCAGGUUUCCCACUCCUUCAUGGUCCAAACCGCUGUGCUCAUCCAGCCAGCAAGGGAAGACUCAUGGUGAAAAAUUGAGACAGCUCUGAAUGAUUGCCAGGUACCAAUGACAGACAAAGAGUAAAAAGUGGGCAUGAAACACAAACAGCAUGUAAAGAUUAGUGACAGAUGAAUUUCUAAGGUAGGAAACAAAGUUCAGAAAAGCCUAAAGUUGGUUACUAACUCCAGGCCAGAUCCAUAAAAUCUUGAUUCUGCCAGUCUAAGGGGAAAACUCAAAAACCAGGACUUAGCUCAAAACGUACAGUCCACUUUUUCCAUUCAUAGCCAGGAAUAUAAUGCAACUAUUCCAUAGUCUGUUGAGGUUCACAGAAAGCUCAGAUGCCUUAGAAAAUAUUUUAGUUCUGUCUUGGUUAACACCAAGAAUGAAAUGUGUGCUUAUACACUCACAAUAUCUAUUCUUUGGCUUUAGAAAGAAAGUCAUCAGAUGCUACCUCCCCUCCCUCCCUGCCAUCCCCCCAGUUCAGCUUAGGGUUUCCAUCCUGUAUGCCCCACUAACACACCAAUCACAGAGCCUUCUUCAGAGCCAUAAUUAUUAAUUGUAACAUUUUGACAACAAGUACUGCUGGUGCCAGGGGGCUCUGACAAGCUUCAUGUUGACAUCAGUUGGAGAACUGGAGCCUGAUACAGUGCUGUCAAUUUAAUUGCAUUAGGCCUUGCACAAAUUUAGGAUUUAACUUGAGAAAGAGUCUGGAUGAUUGCCUCAAUAUAGGCCACAAGAGGGAAAUGAAAUUCUGGUCACCUCUAGUAAAGCGCUCCAGAAUCACAGAUCAAUUGUCCUUCCCUUGCUCAGGGAAGAUUUUCAAUGAAAAAUCAUUCUCAGAUAGGCUAUCUCCAGGGGAAAGUGGGAGAGUGAAAAAAAGGAGACCCAACAGCAGUUGCUUCAAAAUUGGUAGAAUUCUGUGAGGAUAAUCCAAUGUCACCCCCAGCAUCAGCAGCAGGAAAUGUCAUUUCUAGUCCUUCUAGGACUGCACUUUUAUGGUUUUCCUUCACUGAUUAACACUCCUGCACAGUGGCAAAAAGUCAAAAAGUUACUUCCAAAGUUUUCUUGCAUAGGGUGUGUACACAUGGGCACCCUCACACCCUUCUUUCCUUAAACACACAUAUGUGCACAUCCCACAUGAUGUGGAUGCCAGGAACCUGUAAAAGUGUCUUAUAUAGAGAGAAAAUACAUAGCAAAAUGCAGCAUAAUUGUUCUUUGUUCUUUUAUACUGAACUCAGGAGUUGCAAUGCAAUUCAGACGCCAUCUGUGUCCCUGUUAGGUUGUGCAUGCUGAUCACAUGCAAAAUCUCUGCUGGAGAUGCAUGAGGAAGCACAAUACAACUGGGAUAAAUUUGAUGUUUUCCAUCAAAAAGUAUUUGGAUAUUUAAAGAAGAGAUGCCAAUGUAUCCCCUCCAAAUCAGAAAUGUUUGUGAUCCCCUAGUGUAACAAUCCCACCGUGCCAAGAGGCAGCGCCACAGCAGGACACCCCUGAGCCUGCUGAGGGCUUGUGCAGACUGCUGGCAGCAGGAAGGCUGUGGAUAAAGCUGCUGGGCACAGCAGGGAGCUUCAUAUCCCGUGGGUCUGAGCCCUACCUGUGGCAGCAGGACACAGGAAUAUCUCUGUAAAGGCAAUUCCUUCAAGUGGCCUUGUAACUUGCCAGUGGGUCAGAAAUACUCAGGCAGCAACAGCGAUGCUGCAGUAGGUGAGAUAAAGAGUAAAGCCUUCAAAAACCUGUGGGUUUUGCUCCAGUUUCAAAAUGAUGUAGAUUCCAAGGAGUGUGAAUCAGUCAUGGCUUAGUCUCCUGGGGCCAGAUACACAAAACAGCUUCAGCAUCCAAUUCCUCUUUAGACAGUGAAUAAAGCACUAAAUGCUUUUGGUGCCUAAUAUUUUUUUUUUCAAACGUAUAUGGUUCUAAUUUGCUUAAGCUCUCAUGAUGUUUUAUCUCAAAAAUAGUUUUCUUCUGGAUGUAAAGCGUAAGGCUGUAUUUUUUCUACAAAGAGUUAUUCAUUAACAAUAUAGAUCAUAAGAAAAAGGUUCAAGUAAUCAGAACAACAAAAAGUGCAGCCUUAGACUAUUCAGUUAGUGUACUAAAUUAUUUAUAACUCCUGGGCACCUACAGCAAUCACAAAUAUCUAAUUUAAACUGUUACUAUUUUUACUUGGCAAUUUCCAUCACUUACAGUGUUUAUUAUCUAUGUAUCUGCAGUUUGAUCUUUUGCAGGACAAAUUUCCCCCUACUUAAACAGAAAAACAUAUUUGGGAACUUUGGAGGUAUUUUUAUGCAGUAACUUUAAUUAUUUUAAAGCAUUUUGGGGCUUAGUGUGAUAGACUACAACUUUCAAAACUCUAAACUGUAUCUAAAAUGAGCUUGAACUUUCAGUUCUUUCUCAAGCUAAAUUCUCUUUGAUUACAAGUCAUUGAGAUCAAGGAGAAAUUUGUUUCAUUAGUAGAUGUAACACUGGGUCCUAUUUAUAUGUAUAUGUGAUGAGAGGACUUAGGUAAGGGGGUUGCACUUCUAUGUCAGCCUACUUAAGGAUCUUUUGCAUAGAUGUAGGAAAUGUCACUGCUAAGUCACUCCAACUUUCUAUCAACCUCUUUUUGUAAAAAAACAACCAUUCUACUUGUGUGUGGCUGGAAUAAAGCAUUAUUAAAUCAAGCUCAUAGGCUGACACACAUACACUUGUAUAUAUGUGUAUAUUUGUAUAUAUAUUUGUAAAUUUAUGAAAACUGUCUGUAUCUUCAUGAUUGCCUGAAAUAACCUGAGGUCGAUGUACAGAAUUUCAGGCAAAGGACUGUUUCUUUUUCACAAUCCUCAUGUAUCUCAGAUUUAAACCAAAACAAACUAAAAAUACUAUUUCCCAGGAAAAUCCUCAUUUUGCCAUUACACCAGUUGAGGAGGGGUACCACACUUAAGUCAGCAGCACACACAUCUACACACGUACAACCAGUCAAAGGACUGGGUCUCAAGGGCUUUUUUAAGGAAAUGGAAUGGACUGAAAAAGCAAUGGUAGAAUUUCUGUUCAGCGUUAGCUCUCUCAAUUGAUUCUCUUGUCCUUUAUUAGGAGGCCCUUUGUACAGAUGCUGUUCUUCUCUUGAGGUGUAUGUUUGGGAGAAGCACCUUUGUGUGUGACACUGAGCCACCGAAAGGCCAGGAUUCCCUGACCCACCUUUGUCCUCAUUAACCUUAGACACUGCACUGAGUUCAUGAUGUUAAUGGGCCCAUCUCCCUUGGCUUCUUGUACAGGUAGUGAAGAGAGACAGCUGCUUACAGGUGGUGACCUAGCAAAACUGACAUCUAGGCUUUAGUAGCUCCUCCUUGCUUCAUACAAUGACCACUCACCUAUCUUGAGUGAUCCCAAGAUCUUAAAAUACCUUAAAUCCUGGUGAGAUUAAUCAGGUACCUAGUGCAGGAGAGCAUCCAUAUGGAGAUAGCUGUGUCUGUGUGCUUCAGGUGCAUGGCCUGGGCUCAGCUGUCAAACACAGGUUUUAAUUGUGAAAGCCUGUUGGAACAAAACGAGAUGUUGACAACAGCCUUCCCCUCCCAAACUGCAACGUGAGUGCAAAGGAUAGAGCUUGUCCAAACCCCUGGAAAUAGCAUUUGGGGUGAGUGCCUUGUGGUGGCCUCCAGGCACAGAUGACUGGGUGGUCCCCGUGCUGGAGGUCAGAGGUCUUUGGUCUGAACUCUUCACCUUUCUCUGCCAGUCCUGGGCAUUGCUGAAGCAGUUCAAAGAGUGAAUUUACAUCUUACCUUUUGAACAGCUGAGAUGAGCUGUUCAAAGGUUACUUUUCUUUCUUUAUUUCCAAACUGGCCUGAAAAAGUCAUCUAGCUCGUAGUGAUAAUUAAAAACUUCUCUUCCAAGAUACAGUCUGGGUAGCUUCAUAUUCUUUUUUUUUCAAUGUUAAUAACUGCUUUACAAACAGCUUACAUGGAGAUUAAAGAGAUUGCAAUUUCAUUCCGUAUUGUUGGGAUUAUAGUUGUCCUCAGAAAAAACUGAGGACUCAACAAAAAGAUGAACUGUGGCUGCAUAAUUCAGAAAGAUGCUCUGACAAGGCUGAACGUACAUCUCCAUCUCAUGGUGAGAGUCUCUCAGAGCCAAAACUUGGAAUUGCAGAUUGAUAGUGAGUCUAUCUAGAAUGACCAGAAAUUUAAUCUAGUAUUAGAAUGUUGGAAGUCUUGUAUAGUCUCAUAUAUUACCUGAAUAAAACAAACACAGUGAGAGGAGUGGGAAAAUUAAACUGAUUUCUGAAAACUCUAAGGUUAAGUGAACUUUGGAUCUUGUGCCAAUAUAUGGUCACUACUAUUUGUUUCUACAGCUAAAUUUAAGUCAGUGACUUGACAAUCUUCACCUAUUUCUAAGAACAACUUUAUUUUUAAAAAUACUGUUAAGAUUUUGACAAGAGGGACUUCAGGGAACUGUAAAAUGAAGAUUUAAUACUGUGUACUAGUACUGAAGGAAAGACUUUAGUUAGAAAAUGGAAGAUAAAGCUGAGUUCUAGGGAUGAAAUGUUAUUUUUCAGCAUGGUACUACCUUGCCCAAGCUGUAGUGUAUCAUCCUGAUGUUUUUCUCCUCUUCUCCAUUUCCCUGUUUUGAGAAGUAAGAUAUAUAUCUCUGUCUCCCUCUCUUCCUUUUCCUCCCUGUGUGUGAGAAUACAGACAUGUUUCCUGUAAAGACAUUUUUCUCUAAAUUUCAUUCCAUACCAGCUCUUGCAUAUGUGAUUGUUUUGUUAUUUGAGAUGUCUGUGAAAAAGAAAUAAAGGCUUUAAGAGUGAACUCUGGAAAUGAGGAGAAGCUUGAGAAUAUAUCAAAUUUAAGGAUGCAGCACCAUUUUCUGCUGGAUUUUUCAGAAUUUUCCUAAAUUCUCAUCAUCACUCUCCUACCCUCCCUCUCUGUGAGAGGGAUGAGGAAGAUACUGGGAUGUGGGACUCUCAAAGGUUCCUUUUUAAACUGUUGACUCACUAUGUCCCACAAGGAUUUUGCAGGUUUUUCAGAGUUUUAGUGUCAAAGAAAACCUCCUUUUAAAAGGUGAUAAAGUCAAUGCACAACAUCACAUGGGAGGAGGUUCUAAAGGGUGACUCCAUACCAGUUUAUCUUUGUUUCCCAUUCUUUAUGACAGUCCUGCUUGCCCAGCCAUGCACAUUCACCUCUCUGCUGGGUUUGCUUUGCCAAGGUUUGCCAAGAGGGGCCUGCCUGACCUCUCACCCCCAUGAUGCACUUGGAUAACUUUCCACUUUCUCUCAAAAAACCCCGUAUCACCUCCUAAUGAAAGCCAUAACCACUCCUGUGACCCUGCCACAUGGAGUGAAUGCCCAGGCUCCAUGGGACAGAGCAAUGCCUGGCACUGAGGCGAUCCUGGGGGAAAGGAAGAAGAAUGGUGGAGCACUCAGGCCAUCAGAGCUUCAGUGUCACCUUCCCCUGCAAGCUCCCCUGCUGCUCAUGAACCUCUCAGCCAGUUCAGCACGAGGGUCUGACUCUCACUUUCCCCCUUGUGCCCAUGGGAAUUGUGUGUGGAUGUGUAAAACACUCCUGUGUGAGGGCAGAAGCGUUGGCUACAUGGGGCAGGGAGAAACCAGACCCACUGGACUCCCCACCAUCCACUGUAGGUGCAUCUCAUGAAGGUACUUGCUCUUCAGGAUUUCUUCUGCCCCAAGUAAUAUUCAGCUAACCACAUGAUACCACACUGGCCAAAAGUUUUUGAAGGGUUUCCCUUUCUUGACUUUCUCAUUGGUCCUUUUUUCCUUAUGAUGUUUUUUUCUUGCUCAGAAGAAAUGAAGCAAUUCCCAUAAUCAUCUUUUGAUGAUGAUAGAAGUUGCAUCAUCACUGUUUCUAAUUGACAGUUUGGGAGGCUUAAGAUAAUAAUUCACUUAAAUGCCUGCAAAUUGAAACAUGUCAGCACUUUCCUAGGACAUUCCCAAGUGAAAUAAUAUGACUGGUACAAGACAUUUGUCACACGGGUACAUCUUGGCCAGCUGUUUAUGUUUUCUCUAAGUGCAGUAAACACACAUCAAAGCUGGAUUUAGAAAGACCUAGAAUGCCACAAUACUCAGGCAUAUUUAGAGAAAUGCAGCAAUACAUCACAUUUAUCUGGCAUAUUUUCUCUAUAGAAAAUUUUACAAGUAUGAGUCCCAUUAGACCUGUCUGAGGCAGGUAGGUAUUAUAGCCAUUUUGGAGAUGGGGAGCCAAAAGCCUGAGAAAAGACCUUCUAUUUAGUGGUUUGAUGCCCCCUCACAAGUUCUACCAGCUGCAGGUGGAGCCUUCUCUUUUCAGCACUUUUGAAAAUCCAGACUGUAGCUGGGUUUACUCAAAUCUGCGGUGGCUGUAAAUGUGAAAGCCAGGAUUAGGACACUCAGGAUCCUGAUUUCUUCAGAGCACUGCUACAGAGCUUUGAUCCCACAAAGCACUUGCCUAAUUUCAAGCAUACAUUUCGCAUUAAGGAUGCUAUUGUCAUGCUUAAAGCUAGGCACAUGCCUAAGUGCUUUGCUAGACCGGGGAUUACAUUGAAAUAUAUAAAACUUCAACAUAUUAUGAAAAGUCCAAAACCAUGUCCAUUUCUGAUUAUGGUUUGGGCAUUGUAAAGGAUAUUUGAACUGUGUAUGCAGCUGCUCAACCAAGUGGAGCACUUUUUACCCAAUACACAGAGAGUUUUAUGACUUUUGGGUAGUAACAUCCAGUUGUCAGAAGUAAUAGAGAACGACAUGUCCUGGGAGGUUGGGACCUCUGUGCUGCUGUAAGAGGCGAAGUGGCUCCUGUGGCCAUCGGUGCUAACAAUACAUCAACAACCAGUGACUAUUUUGUUAGGUUGUUCUGGUGAGAUGUGAGUGUGGUGGCUAAUUUCACAAGUAAUGUGGCAUCAAGUGUAUUGUACUUUUCCAUUUCUUCCUGUAAUCUGUUGCAGCAGAGGUGAACAGAAUUUGUUUAAACAUGAAACUCCCCCAAAUUUCUUGUUCUGUUAAUCCAAGGUGCUAAUCUGCAGACACAUGGGUGUUGGUGUACGUGCAUCAGUGUUUGCAGGACUGUGGCCCCGAAGGAACAUUUCAGUGGCAGGGCUGAGAUCAGGGAACUAAUAGGGAGAAGGAACAAACCCCUAUAAAUUUGAAAGACAGGAGUUGCAGAAAGCGUCACAGGACUUUGCUGAAAAACUGGUUAAAAUCUUACAAUUUCCAUUUUAUUUUGAUUUGUUUUGGUUUUAUUCAGAUUGGCACAGAAUACUGUAUUUCCAUCAAUUAAAAUCUUGUCUGGUAACUAACUAAACAACUUGUUCAUGGAAAAUUAAAAAAAUAAAUACGUAAACUGUCAGUUGUGGAAUGUAAACUGAUUAAACAAAUAAAAAAAUCA